GACGAACGCUGGCGGCGUGCUUAACACAUGCAAGUCGAACGAAGAGCGACGGAAGCUUGCUUCUAUCAAUCUUAGUGGCGAACGGGUGAGUAACGCGUAAUCAACCUGCCCUUCAGAGGGGGACAACAGUUGGAAACGACUGCUAAUACCGCAUACGAUCUAAUCUCGGCAUCGAGGAUGGAUGAAAGGUGGCCUCUACAUGUAAGCUAUCACUGAAGGAGGGGAUUGCGUCUGAUUAGCUAGUUGGAGGGGUAACGGCCCACCAAGGCGAUGAUCAGUAGCCGGUCUGAGAGGAUGAUCGGCCACAUUGGGACUGAGACACGGCCCAGACUCCUACGGGAGGCAGCAGUGGGGAAUCUUCCGCAAUGGACGAAAGUCUGACGGAGCAACGCCGCGUGAGUGAUGACGGCCUUCGGGUUGUAAAGCUCUGUUAAUCGGGACGAAAGGCCUUCUUGCGAAUAGUGAGAAGGAUUGACGGUACCGGAAUAGAAAGCCACGGCUAACUACGU
rnacentral:rRNA from 1 species